rnacentral:lncRNA from 1 species
UUUUUUUUUUUUUUUUUUUUUUUGCUCUGUAAGGAUAUUUGUCUUGAAAGUUGAAACUAUUAUAAUUAAUAAGCAUCAAACAAAUUUGAAAGAUAAGGGCAUUUUUGUCAAUAAUUACAUGAGCGUGAAUUUAGAAUAGAGGGCAGACUUGGUCCUACCUCCCCUUUGUUGUCAUCUCCAGUGUCUCGUCCAUUCGUGCAGGUUGUGGGUGCAAUCAUAUAGAUCGCUUAGCUAAUGCAUGAUUGAUCGUUUGACCAUUUCCAAAUUAAGCAUCAUUGUGGCAUAACUUACAUGAAUCAAAUAGGCAGUUACGAUUACUCUCCCUCUUAUCUCUCCCACUCGACGGCCUUCACUUUUUCCUUUGGAAAAAAGAAAGAAAAAGGCCUUUGCUUUCUCUGUUCGUUUUUGUCUUUUUUUUUUUUCGCUUUUUCGGGUUUUAGGAUUCAAGGUUCAACAACUACAAUUAUACUUAAGAUCAAGUGCACAGUUUUCAUGUGUAGCUUUCUUGUAGAGUACAUACAUCACUCCAAAAAAUCGUAAAUGUUUGUUGAGACCUUAAAUCUAUGUACUAAAUAUUCGUUUAAUUUGUGUUUCUUUGAGUUUUUAAAAAUUAAUGAUAAUCCGUCCUUCAAAACACAUCAACCAUGUUAAUGAGCACUUGAAAUUAAUAAUGUUUUCAAUUUACCUUAAAAGUCAAUUUUGCUAUAGCUUGGUACGUGUCAGCAUGAAUAGCUUGUUUUCAGAGUCUUUCCUGUUAUUAAAUUCAAUAUUCGAAUUAAGUUUCUGAUAAUCGGGGUUGAGAGAGUGUCGGAAGGGGUUGGGAGGGAAAUUUUUUUGAGAAAAUCAUGAAUAGCUUGUGAUGGCUAACAAGCUAUUAUGCAUCUCAACGAAUUGAAAGGCAAAUACUCUUUUGAAGAGAGAAAUUAGUCGGCAGGUUAGUUGGAAAACUUACAAAUAAACUUGCAUUAGUGAACAAUGAACAAUUAGAAAAAGUCGGACAAGUUUAAACUCUAAACAGUGAAGGGUGGAAGCAAAGUCAACUGAUAACAAAUGCAUUGGAAUUUAGAACACGGUCACCAUCAGCGGCCGACUAAGCCCCAUUAGAUUGAUGCUAUAUGUAAUAAUAAUAAUAAUAUAAAGCCGGUGGCUCAAAAAGCAGCUUGACGGACAAAUCAUGCCCAGAAACCAGAUGAUGGCAAUAUUUGCAAAGUGACUAAUUGACAAAAUGAACAAUGGGCAAACAAUAUUCCUUUUGCCUUCUUCUCCCAGUUCCCCUUUCUUGUAUACGGCUAUCCAAACUCCUGCAAUUUGUAUUCUAACAGUUAAAAUGUCACAUAUGUACAAAAAGAAUGAAUCCAGUACUCUAUACCCCUAACAAUUUCUUACAGGAACAAAAAUAAAAUGGAGGAACAAAAAGCUAGCCAAUACGUAGAGUUCUUUCUUUUUCUUGCAUCAAUAUACAGUGAGUUUACUAUUAACAAAAAACUUGGUACCUUCUUGGUUUUUUUGUUUUUAUUCAGUAACGAUAACAAUUAUAUAAUCUAUUCUAUUCUAAUUUAUAGGAAAGGAAGAGUCUAAAGAGGUUUUUUGUAUUAGAAGCUAGUAGGCAUACAAAUUUGACUAGAUCAAAUGAAUGUUUUGACAUCAUUUUUAAAUUUUUUUCUUUGCAAAUAUAAUUUGAACUCUUACGUACAAUUCAAGAAGAGACUUAAAUCCCUGCUCAGUGGCCACUGGAUUUGGCUCAGUGGUUACCUUCUUGGUUUUAUUGAUUGGAUUCCUCAUGCACAGUUCACUGAUGGUACAAGUUCCUCCAGCACCACAUGCAACUGUUAUUGAUUUUUCCGGCUCAGCUA